CUGCUCGGGGCACUGUAAGAGA
rnacentral:miRNA from 1 species